GAGACAUCAGCCAGGAGUUUGGUCCUGGACUUCUAAUCUCCAGAACUGUGAUAAGAAACAGAAUGUACGCUGACCCUGUUUGUGGACUCUGCUAUGUUUCCCUGACUCCGAAGGUGAUGGGAAGCCCUCUUAAAAGUGCUGUUAUCCGUCUCGUCCUUUGAACCAAGGGUCUGCGUUUGGUACGCGUUCUAGCCCGUGUCUCAGAACGUACACGGUGCUUUUGGACCCGGGGUUGUGGCUGAUGGGGUGUGUGGAGGUUGCCCGGUGGUGGAAUCUCAGGCUUUGCCACCUGAUCCUCUCCCAAGUACAAGAGCAAAUGGAGUGUGCAGCUGUUACAGCCACUUCUAGUCUAGUCUCCGUUCCAGAAGACGAAAGCAGGGAGAAGUGCCACACAGAGGGAUCGUUUGGUGUCCUCGAUGGUCGGAAGCGUGAAUCAACCCGAUGGGAUGCAGCGAAUCACACGAGCUGUUGGAGAAAGCCGAGGAGCCACCCCACAUCGCGGCGUGCUCUGGUCUCCACGCACAGAGGACGGUGGCUUCUCUCCCCUGGAGCAGCGCCGAAGUCAGAGCAGCCCGAGACCAGUCGUGAGAGCCGGGGUGCUCUGGGGAUGGCAAUUUGGGAGCCGUCAGGUGAGAGCUGGUUCCGACCAUAACUCCAAAUCCGUGUGGUUAUUCAGACGAGCCAAUCAGCACUGCAUAUUUGAUAAGCAAACUCAAUAAUCAUUUAUAAUCCUGACAGGUUAAGGGUCUCCA